CCUACGGGAGGCAGCAGUGGGGAAUAUUGGACAAUGGGGGCAACCCUGAUCCAGCCAUGCCGCGUGUGUGAAGAAGGCCCUCGGGUUGUAAAGCACUUUCAGUGAGGAAGAACGCCUGGUGGUUAAUACCCAUCAGGAAAGACAUCACUCACAGAAGAAGCACCGGCUAACUCCGUGCCAGCAGCCGCGGUAAUACGGAGGGUGCGAGCGUUAAUCGGAAUUACUGGGGCGUAAAGCGCGCGUAGGUGGCUUGAUAAGCCGGUUGUGAAAGCCCCGGGCUCAACCUGGGAACGGCAUCCGGAACUGUCAAGCUAGAGUGCAGGAGAGGAAGGUAGAAUUCCCGGUGUAGCGGUGAAAUGCGUAGAGAUCGGGAGGAAUACCAGUGGCGAAGGCGGCCUUCUGGACUGACACUGACACUGAGGUGCGAAAGCGUGGGUAGCAAACAGGAUUAGAUACCCUGGUAGUC
rnacentral:rRNA from 1 species